rnacentral:rRNA from 1 species
GAUGAACGCUGGCGGCGUGCCUAAUACAUGCAAGUCGAGCGAACAGAUGAGGAGCUUGCUCCUCUGACGUUAGCGGCGGACGGGUGAGUAACACGUGGAUAACCUACCUAUAAGACUGGGAUAACUUCGGGAAACCGGAGCUAAUACCGGAUAAUAUAUUGAACCGCAUGGUUCAAUAGUGAAAGACGGUUUUGCUGUCACUUAUAGAUGGAUCCGCGCCGCAUUAGCUAGUUGGUAAGGUAACGGCUUACCAAGGCAACGAUGCGUAGCCGACCUGAGAGGGUGAUCGGCCACACUGGAACUGAGACACGGUCCAGACUCCUACGGGAGGCAGCGGUAGGGAAUCUUCCGCAAUGGGCGAAAGCCUGACGGAGCAACGCCGCGUGAGUGAUGAAGGUCUUCGGAUCGUAAAACUCUGUUAUUAGGGAAGAACAAAUGUAUAAGUAACUAUGCACGUCUUGACGGUACCUAAUCAGAAAGCCACGGCUAACUACGUG